GACAGAGGAGCCAAGCGUUGUCCGGAUUGACUGGGCGUAAAGCGCACGCAGGCGGAGCGGCGCGUGGGUGUGAAAGCUGGCGGCUUAACUGCCAGUCGCCAUCCCAUACGGCCGCUCUGGAGCCUUGCAGAGGGCAGUGGAAGUUGCCGGUGUAGUGGUGAAAUGCGUAGAGAGUCGGCAGGAACACCCAGGGGGAAACCAGGCUGCCUGGG
rnacentral:rRNA from 1 species